rnacentral:rRNA from 1 species
UACAGGGGGUGCUAGCGUUGUUCGGAAUUACUGGGCGUAAAGCGCGCGUAGGCGGCUUUGCAAGUCGGGUGUGAAAUCCCCAGGCUUAACCUGGGAACUGCAUUCGAGACUGCAUUGCUAGAGUAUGGGAGAGGGAAGUGGAAUUUCCGGUGUAGCGGUGAAAUGCGUAGAUAUCGGAAGGAACAUCAGUGGCGAAAGCGACUUCCUGGACCAAUACUGACGCUCAUGUGCGAAAGCGUGGGGAGCAAACAGG